ensembl:lncRNA
UAGUUUGAACUCCUAAAGACAUUCAGGACAAAUCCGUAGUUUGGCCUAUAUGUAUGAGCGUAUAUUCUUUAAUUUCUACACUUCCAGUUGCUGGCAGAUGAAUGCCCCUUUCUCCCCAUGGUCCUUAUUUUCAUCUCGAGGGUACGGAGCAGGGAAAGCAGAGACGCUCUGACCACUGCAGGGUUUGAGGUUUGAACCCGAGGGCUCAGGCAGAGCCAGGCCAGGUGGGAGUGGGUCCUUCUGCAAAGGGGCAUUUCCCACAGCAGCACUUUCCUCAGGCCGGGGUAGCAGCGGUUCCUGUGCUUUUCUCCCCCGUUUUCCACUCUCCAAACACCUUGAACUGUUAAGCAACGCAGCCCAGGCAGACAGGAAUUCGCGCUUCGCUCUUCGCACAUCAAACUGAAAAGCAACCGAGGGAAUCGCAGCCUAUUGAGAGGAUCAAAAAGGUGACACAAAGCACAAAAGAAGGCAAAGAAGCGGAGAUCAUUCGCCGUCCCACACAGCAACGCCGUCUCAGGACCCGGGGACCCAGGCGGAGGAUUUAGUGCCUAAACCCGGAGACUCCUCGGGGCUGCGGCAUUAAGUCGUGCUCGCAUGCCUGAGAGCGGAUAAAGCUGAAGUCAAAAACAAAAACGUCUAAAGAGGCCUCGGAAUAUUGUCGUUUUGGGGACAGCCCUGUGCAUUUCAUCCGCAGGAAUGAGUGUUUUCAUUUCACAGUAACGCAGGUAUUCGAAAAGGCUGCCAAAAAGUCCUCCAAAACUCCGCGUUUAAUCUGAGCGCUUUUUCAAGAGGAGCGAUGUUUAUUUCGACCAUCUAAUGAACAUUAAUUUCCUGCUUCAGAAGACGCACUUUAUGCCACUGCUGAUGCUUAUCUCUAUGCAUAUCCUCUUGGCUGGCUCUGCUUUUCAUUUUCUCCUGUUCCCUGCCUGCGUGCUCUGCAACCUGCAGGCUCAGCCUCGAGUGCGUUCCGGGGCUUCCAAUGCACAGCAAGAGAACCUGAUAGGAGUUCCUUCCAACAGAGACAAAGCUAAAGAGAAUAUCUGGAACAGUGGUCUGAAAACAAAAAUAUGUUUUCCCUUCAGCUUCAGAGCUCAGACCAAAGCGAUGCAACUGACACCAAACAAAUCCGCCGCCUGCCAGGAUAAACAGACAUUUGUGGUGCUGUUUGCUGCGUGCCUGCCACGAAAUAAAGACACUGACAUGCAUUUUAAUGCAACUCUCCUGCAAAUUGUGAAAAAAUAACUGUGCACUGCUUAUUCGUUGCUGGGUUACCGGAAGGGAAGAGAAUAUUUCUGCAGACACGAUGAACUAGCAAGACAGGAUUCUGGCUGCAAAUAUGAUCAAAUCUAUUCAGGAGCAAAAAGACUGAUGGGAGGCUUUGAAGGAAAAGGAAACUGCUGCUGAUUUCAUGAGCCCAGGAAGAGCUGCAGGAAAUCUCCUGCUAGGUGCAAAUCUUCCUUAACCUCAUGCUCACAAGACCAGGUUGGGCCUCGUGGGCAUCCGAAUGCUUGAACACACCCAGGUCUGACAGUCUGUAUCUCUUUUCCCCUGCACUGAUCCAUCUCUAGCCAACAAGUCUUCUAAGCACAGUUCUGGAGAUCUCAUUCAUCACUCAGAUCAGCUGCUAUUUUUAAAUUUCCCUCUUUCAG